rnacentral:tRNA from 1 species
GCCGCCUUAGCUCAGUGGUAAAGCAGUGGUUUUGUAAACCAUGGACGCGGGUUCGAUUCCUGCAGGCGGCUCCA